rnacentral:rRNA from 1 species
AGAGUUUGAUUCUGGCUCAGGAUGAACGCUAGCGACAGGCUUAACACAUGCAAGUCGAGGGGCAGCACGGGAGUAGCAAUACAACUGGUGGCGACCGGCGCACGGGUGAGUAACGCGUAUGCAACCUACCUAUCAGAGGGGAAUAACCCGGCGAAAGUCGGACUAAUACCGCAUAAAACAGGGGCACCGCAUGGUGAUAUUUGUUAAAGAAAUUCGCUGAUAGAUGGGCAUGCGUUCCAUUAGGUAGUUGGUGAGGUAACGGCUCACCAAGCCGACGAUGGAUAGGGGAACUGAGAGGUUGGUCCCCCACACUGGUACUGAGACACGGACCAGACUCCUACGGGAGGCAGCAGUGAGGAAUAUUGGUCAAUGGGCGAGAGCCUGAACCAGCCAAGUCCGCGUGAAGGAAGAAGGAUCUAUGGUUCGUAAACUUCUUUUGCAGGGGAAUAAAGUGCGGGACGUGUCCUGUUUUGUAUGUACCCUGAGAAUAAGGAUCGGCUAACUCCGUGCCAGCCGCCGC